rnacentral:rRNA from 1 species
CCUACGGGAGGCUGCAGUGGGGAAUAUUGCACAAUGGGGGAAACCCUGAUGCAGCGACGCCGCGUGAGUGAAGAAGUAUCUCGGUAUGUAAAGCUCUAUCAGCAGGGAAGAAAAUGACGGUACCUGACUAAGAAGCCCCGGCUAACUACGUGCCAGCAGCCGCGGUAAUACGUAGGGGGCAAGCGUUAUCCGGAUUUACUGGGUGUAAAGGGAGCGUAGACGGCGCUGCAAGUCCGGAGUGAAAGCCCAUGGCUUAACCAUGGUACUGCUCUGGAAACUGUGGAGCUUGAGUGCGGGAGGGGCAGGCGGAAUUCCUAGUGUAGCGGUGAAAUGCGUAGAUAUCACGCAGAACCCCGAUUGCGAAGGCAGCAUGCCGGCUUCCGACUGACGCUGAAGCACGAAAGCGUGGGGAUCGAACAGGAUUAGAUACCCGGGUAGUC